rnacentral:rRNA from 1 species
UGCUUGGGGGAUGGCUUGGCUUGGGGGCCGAAGAAGGACGUGCCAAGCUGCGAUAAGCCCCGAGGAGGCGCAGGGAGCCUUAGAUCCGGGGAUCUCCGAAUGGGACUUCCUGCCAUUUUGGCACUCCGUAAGGAGGGGGAACCCGGGGAAUUGAAACAUCUUAGUACCCGGAGGAAAAGAAAUCAAUAGAGAUGCCGUUAGUAAGGGCGACCGAAAGCGGCACAAGGCAAACCGAAUACCAUCCUGAAAAGGGUGGUAGAUGUGGAGUUUGGACAGUCUCCAAUGCCUCCCUGCUGAACCUGAACCACCUGGAAAGGUGGGCCAUAGAAGGUGAUAGCCCUGUAGGGGUAAGGCAGGAAGCUACGAGGGACUGUAUCCAGAGUACCGUGCGUCGUAAUUCGCGCGGGAAUACGGGUGGCACUAACAUCCAACCUUAAAUACCUCCCAAGUCCGAUAGCGAACAAGUACCGUGAGGGAAAGCUGAAAAGUAACCCGAAAGGGUGGUGAAAAGAGCCUGAAACCAAGCAGCGAUAAACUUACAGGGCACUUAAGGGAUGAGACCGCCAAUAACGGUUGACCGGUGUUCUGUUGUCCGUGUUGAAGAACGGGCCAGGGAGUUCUGACGAGUGGCGAGGUUAAUCCCUUAGGGAGUAGCCGCAGCGAAAGCGAUUACCCGCACAGCAAUGGAGGGGUAGCGUAGCAAAUGCGUUUAGUCACUCGUGGGAGACCCGAAGCCGGUCGAUCUACGCCUGAGCAGGUUGAAGCCUAGCGAAAGCUAGGUGGAGGACCGAACCAGUUCUGAUGUGCAAAUCGUUUGGAUGACUUGGGUGUAGGGGUUAAAGGCCAAUCUAGGCCGGCAAUAGCGGGUUCCCCCCGAUACUACCCGCAGGUAGACCUCAGCUGAGAUGCUCGGUGAGGUAGAGCGACCGACUGGUUGGUCAGCGGUCGAAAGGCCGCGCCGACCUAUCAAACUCCGAACUUGCCGAGAUCGUAGAAGCUGGGUGCUAGGGUAUAGGGAUAAGCUCUGUACCCGUGAAGGGAACAACCUAGACUAGGGUUAAGGCCCCUAAAUACUGGCUAAGUGCGAUCUAAAGGGGUUCAUGGCCAAAGACAGUGGGGAGGUUGGCUUAGAAGCAGCCAUCCUUUAAAGAGUGCGUAACAGCUCACUCACCGAGGCUAUGUGCCCCGAAGAUGGAAGGGGCUAAAGCCAGUUGCCGAGACCCUAGGGCACCGAAAGGUGAUCCGGUAGGGGGGCGUGCCGCAUGGGCGGAAGCCUCUCCGAGAGGAGGGGUGGACCGUGUGGUAUCGCGGAUCCUGGUGAAAGUAGCAGAAAAGAACCGUGAGAAUCGGUUCCGCCGAAAGGGCUAAGGGUUCCUUGGCAAUGUUCGUCAGCCGAGGGUUAGUCGGUCCUAAGACUGCCCCUAACAGGAGGUAGUCGAAAGGGAAGCUGGUUAAUAUUCCAGCACCUCUGGUGUUCUGCCGGUGUCACUUGUUUCGGGAUAUUGGGGGUGCGCUUGCCUACGCAUUUGCCUGUAUAAGCCGGUGGAGAGUCGUAAUGACGAGAAGCCGGCGAAAGCAGGUGAGGCCCCGUAAGGGGCUCCCUGAAAUUCCUGGAGCCUGUGAAAGGUGGCAUCGGGUCAAGCCAGAGACCGUACCAAGAACCGACACAGGUGCCCCUGGAUGAGAAGUCCAAGGCGUUUGGGUCUAAUGGACGCGAGGGAACUCGGCCAAAUAGCUCCGUAUCUUCGGUAGAAGGAGUGCCUAUCCCGGGAGGGGAUAGGUCGCAGUGGCAAGGGGACUCCGACUGUUUACCAAAAACACAGGUCGCUGCUAGUUCGAAAGGAUGUGUAUAGCGGCCGAAACCUGCCCAGUGUCGGUACCUGAAAGCCCCGUCCAAGGGGAAGAAGGGCCGAUAAACGGCGGGGGUAACUAUGACCCUCUUAAGGUAGCGUAAUACCUAGCCGCUUAAUUGGCGGCUUGCAUGAAGGUUCAACGUGGGUCCCACUGUCCCCGCGUUCAGCCCCGUGAAAUCGAUGCACUGGUGCACAAUCCAGUCUCUCCCACGUGAAAGCGAAGUCCCCGUGGAGCUUUACUGCAGCCUGUAGCUGUGAUACGGUUCCCGAUGCGUAGCGUAGGAAGGAGCCGUCGAAGCCUGGGUUUUGGCCCAGGUGGAGGCGCCAAUGAAACACUUCCCUUCGGGAAUUGCGUCACUAACCUCUAAAAGAGGGACAACUAUUGGUGGGCAGUUUGGGUGGGGCGCCACGCCCCUGAGAAUCAAACAGGGGCCCCCAAAGGUCGGCUCAGGAGGGUCAGAAAUCCUCCGUAGAGUGUAAGAGCAAAAGCCGGCUUGACUGUGUUCCGGGCAAUAAGGAACGCAGAUGCGAAAGCAGGGUCUAGCGAACCACCCUGUUCCUCCUUAGUGGGGGCGGGUGAUAAGAGAGAAGUUACCCCAGGGAUAACUGAGUCGUCCUCGGCAAGAGUUCACAUCGACCCGAGGGUUUGCUACUUCGAUGUCGUCUGUUCCUAUCCUGGUGCUGAACAAGGUGCCAAGGGUGGGGCUGUUCGCCCAUUAAAAGGGAUCCUGAGAUGGGUUCACUACGUCGCGAGACAGUAGGGUUGCUUCUCCGUGGGAGUGCUCGGUGUCUGAAGGGAAGGAGCCUUUAGUACGAGAGGAACGGGGGUUCGUGGCUUCUGGUUUACCGGUUGUCUGGCAAGGCACUGCCGGGUAGCCACGCCAUACGCGGAUAAGAGCUGAAGGCAUCUAAGCUCGAAGCCGCCCCUGAAAAUAGACACCGUCAUCAGGGCUCUCCUAAAAGAGGAGGUUGAUAGAGCCGGGAUGUAAGUGCCGAGCUGCUGCGAGGCAUUAAGUCCACGGCCACUAAUCGCCCGAAAG